ensembl:misc_RNA Metazoa_SRP Metazoan signal recognition particle RNA
GCUGGGCGUGGUGGCGGGCGCCUGUAAUCCUAGCUACUCAGGAGGCUGAGGCAGGAGAAUUGCUUGAACCCGGGAGGUGGAGCUUGCAGUGAGCCGAGAUCGCGCCACUGCACUCCAGCCUGGGUGACAGAGCAAGACUCCGUCUCAA